rnacentral:rRNA from 1 species
CGAGUUAUCUGAACCUUCGGGGAACGAUAACGGCGUCGAGCGGCGGACGGGUGAGUAAUGCCUAGGAAAUUGCCUUGAUGUGGGGGAUAACCAUUGGAAACGAUGGCUAAUACCGCAUAAUGCCUACGGGCCAAAGAGGGGGACCUUCGGGCCUCUCGCGUCAAGAUAUGCCUAGGUGGGAUUAGCUAGUUGGUGAGGUAAUGGCUCACCAAGGCGACGAUCCCUAGCUGGUCUGAGAGGAUGAUCAGCCACACUGGAACUGAGACACGGUCCAGACUCCUACGGGAGGCAGCAGUGGGGAAUAUUGCACAAUGGGCGCAAGCCUGAUGCAGCCAUGCCGCGUGUAUGAAGAAGGCCUUCGGGUUGUAAAGUACUUUCAGCAGUGAGGAAGGGGGUGUCGUUAAUAGCGGCAUCUCUUGACGUUAGCUGCAGAAGAAGCACCGGCUAACUCCGUGCCAGCAGCCGCGGUAAUACGGAGGGUGCGAGCGUUAAUCGGAAUUACUGGGCGUAAAGCGCAUGCAGGUGGUUUGUUAAGUCAGAUGUGAAAGCCCGGGGCUCAACCUCGGAACUGCAUUUGAAACUGGCAAACUAGAGUACUGUAGAGGGGGGUAGAAUUUCAGGUGUAGCGGUGAAAUGCGUAGAGAUCUGAAGGAAUACCAGUGGCGAAGGCGGCCCCCUGGACAGAUACUGACACUCAGAUGCGAAAGCGUGGGGAGCAAACAGGAUUAGAUACCCUGGUAGUCCACGCCGUAAACGAUGUCUACUUGGAGGUUGUGGCCUUGAGCCGUGGCUUUCGGAGCUAACGCGUUAAGUAGACCGCCUGGGGAGUACGGUCGCAAGAUUAAAACUCAAAUGAAUUGACGGGGGCCCGCACAGCGUGGAGCAUGUGGUUAAUUCGAUGCACGCGAGACCUUACCUACUCUGACAUCCAGAGAACUUUCCAGAGAUGCAUGUUGCUUCCGACUCUGAACAGUGCUGCAUGCUGUCGUCAGCUCUGUUGUGACUGUAGAUAAGUCGCACGAGCGCCACCCUUAUCUGAUGCAGCGCUAGUCGACUCA